rnacentral:lncRNA from 1 species
AAUCAUUAGGGACAGUGACAGGAAAAGGCAUCUGCACAGAUGUGGGAGAAGAGGGAGGAGAGAGGUGUAUGGGAGAAUCAAAAUCAUCAUCAUGUUCUCCAGAAGGAACAAAGGGAAAAGAUGAAGCAGGAGGAUGAGCAGAAGAAGACACAAAUUUAAAAGGAAAACAUGAUUCAUGAAGAUGACAUCCCUGGAGACCAAAUACUUCUUUGAAGCAAGAUCAUAUAAUCGAUAACCCUUUUUUCCAAAAGGAUAUCCCAGGAAAACACAAGGAAUGGUUCUUGGCUUUAAUUUGUCCCUUUGAGGGAUGGGGACAGUGGCAUAAGCAAGGCAACCAAAAGUCCUCAAGUGAGUAUAGGUUGGAACUUUCCCAUACAAGAUUUCAUGAGGAGACUUAUUAUGAAGUAAUCUGGUGGGUAUUCUGUUAAGUAGAUAGGUAGCUGUCCCAUACAAAAGUUCAUGAGGAGACUUAUUAUGAAGUAAUCUGGUGGGUAUUCUGUUAAGUAGAUAUGUAGCAGUCAACAAACAAUCCCCCCAGAAAGAUACAGGCAUGCCAGAUUGAAAAAGCAAAUCCCUACAGGUUUCAAGGAGAGUUCUAUGCUUCCUCUCAACAACACCAUUUUGUUAAGGGGUAUGAGAGCAUGAGCUUUGGUGUAUGAUCCCUUGGCUGCUAAAAAAGGAAAUACCCUCAUUGCUAGAUCCCAAUUCUAAGGCAUUGUCACUUCUAACAGUCUGAACCACAGCAUUAAAUUGGGUUCAAAUACCCUCAUUGCUAGAUCCCAAUUCUAAGGCAUUGUCACUUCUAACAGUCUGAACUACAGCAUUAAAUUGGGUUUUAACCAGAGAAAAAAAUGACUUAAGCAUAGAAAAAGCAUUGCUUUUGGAUCCCAUUAAGUGUGUCCAUGUUGCCCUUGAAAAAUCAUCAACAAUUAAAAGGAAAUAUUUACAACCAGAAGAGGUUGGAGUAUGAUAAGGUCCGCAAGUGUCCACAUGAAUCAGUUGAAAGGGUCAAGAAGUCUUAAUGGAACUAUCAGGAAAUGGAAGCCUAGUCUGUCUGGCCAUAGGACAGAUUGAACAUGGAAAAGUUUGUUUGGAAGCAAAUGGAAAAGACAGACCAGAAAUGCAUUUCAUAUUUGCAAAAGGAGUAUGAGCAAGUCUUAAGUGCCAAAUGUAAUUCAUGUCAGAUGUAAGAUCAUUAUUACAGAUGGAACUAUUGACAUGUGAAGGCAAUGGAACAGCCUUGUUAUCAGACAAGAUGUCAUCACUACAAGAAACAGACACAGAAGGCAAUGCAACAACUUUGCUAUCAUUGCAAGAAGCAGAUACAGGACAAACAGAAGUAGAGGAACAACUAAUAGAGAAAGAAGGGGAAGGAGGAACUCAAGCCAGUUUAUAAAAGCCAACAGCUUCUCUACCAAGAUCCAGAGGCCUCCUCAGAGAAGGGUCCUGUAUCAUGUGU